rnacentral:rRNA from 1 species
UAUCAGUCAUGCAUAGCAUAUCAAUAAGCGGAGGAAAAGAAACUAACAAGGAUUCCCCUAGUAACGGCGAGUGAAGCGGGAAGAGCUCAAAUUUGAAAUCUUAAAGGGUUUCCCUUUACGAAUUGUAGUUUAAAGAAGUGUUUUCUGUUGAGGUUUUGGUAAAAGUUCUUUGGAAUAGGACAUCAUAGAGGGUGAGAAUCCCGUAUUUGACCUUUACUUUCAACUUUGUGAUACACUUUCAAAGAGUCGGAUUGUUUGGGAAUGCAGUCCAAAAUGGGUGGUAAAUUUCAUCUAAAAGCUAAAUAUUGGCGAGAGACCGAUAGCGAACAAGUACCGUGAGGGAAAGAUGAAAAGAACUUUGAAAAGAGAGUUAAACAGUACGUGAAAUUGUCAAAAGGGAAGCGUUUGACACCAGUGCUGUUUUUCUGAAAAUCAAUUAAAGAACUGUUUAUGCUAAGUUGUUUAGACUUUAUCAGCUAAACUGUUUAGUUUUGAGCUUUUCUUUAAUGCACUUUUCAGUUAACAAGUCAACAUCAAUUUCUUUUGCUGUAAAAAAGCUUGAGGAAGGUGGCUUGAGAUUCGUCUUAAGUGUUUAUAGCCUCUUGCCUAUGCAGUCGGAGAGAUUGAGGUCUGCAGCGUAGAUCCUUCGGGGCUAAAUGCAUUUGUGCUAAGUUAUAGCAUUUUAUAGACAACUUGUUGACUAUGAUUUGUCUUGUAGCUUACUCGCUUAUGUUAUUUUACCUACGCUUAGGAUGUUGACGCGCGUGUGUGCGUG